rnacentral:tRNA from 1 species
UAGCUCAGUGGUAGAGCUAUCGGCUGUUAACCGAUCGGUCGCAGGUUCGAAUCCU